rnacentral:rRNA from 1 species
AUGAACGCUGGCGGCGUGCUUAACACAUGCCAGUCGAACGAAGCACUUUAUUUGAUUUCCUUCGGGACUGAUUAUUUUGUGACUGAGUGGCGGACGGGUGAGUAACGCGUGGGUAACCUGCCUUGUACAGGGGGAUAACAGUUGGAAACGGCUGCUAAUACCGCAUAAGCGCACGGCAUCGCAUGAUGCAGUGUGAAAAACUCCGGUGGUAUAAGAUGGACCCGCGUUGGAUUAGCUAGUUGGUGAGGUAACGGCCCACCAAGGCGACGAUCCAUAGCCGACCUGAGGGGGUGACCGGCCACAUUGGGACUGAGACACGGCCCAAACUCCUACGGGAGGCAGCAGUGGGGAAUAUUGCACAAUGGGCGAAAGCCUGAUGCAGCGACGCCGCGUGAGCGAAGAAGUAUUUCGGUAUGUAAAGCUCUAUCAGCAGGGAAGAUAAUGACGGUACCUGACUAAGAAGCACCGGCUAAAUACGUG